UCCUCUCAGUCACGAGGCCAGACAAAAGUAUAAAACUGGCUCCUGCCACAUGGAAGGAAACUUGCUCUCCCCAGGAAGGGUCUGGAAGGGUCAUUUAGAGCCUUAGCUCCAACAACAAGCUGACUUAGCAAAAGGAAGCAAUGCCAACAUUGAAACUAACCACCCAGAAAGAUGAACGAGUAUCAACCAAAAACACAUUAGCAAAAAUUUCAGGAACAGGCAUUAAAAAGGAGAAGAGCCAAAGGUAAUAGAAGUGUUUAAUGUGUUUGCAAGACAGCCAAAGAACCCACAAAACCAGAAAAUGUUCAAUUUUACAACUUUAUUAAAAAUUUAUCAUCAAGUCACAA